AUUGAACGCUGGCGGAAUGCUUUACACAUGCAAGUCGAACGGCAGCACGGGGCAACCUGGUGGCGAGUGGCGAACGGGUGAGUAAUACAUCGGAACGUGCCCAAUCGUGGGGGAUAACGUAGCGAAAGCUACGCUAAUACCGCAUACGAUCUACGGAUGAAAGCGGGGGAUCGCAAGACCUCGCGCGAAUGGAGCGGCCGAUGGCAGAUUAGGUAGUUGGUGGGGUAAAGGCUCACCAAGCCUGCGAUCUGUAGCUGGUCUGAGAGGACGACCAGCCACACUGGAACUGAGACACGGUCCAGACUCCUACGGGAGGCAGCAGUGGGGAAUUUUGGACAAUGGGCGCAAGCCUGAUCCAGCCAUUCCGCGUGAGUGAAGAAGGCCUCGG
rnacentral:rRNA from 1 species